rnacentral:rRNA from 1 species
ACAGAGGGUGCAAGCGUUAAUCGGAAUUACUGGGCGUAAAGCGCACGUAGGUGGCUUGGUAAGUUGGAUGUGAAAUCCCCGGGCUUAACUUGGGAAUUGCAUUCAAGACUGCCUUGCUAGAGUGUGGAGGGAAGCGGAAUUCCAGGUGUAGCGGUGAAAUGCGUAGAUAUCUGGAGGAACAUCAGUGGCGAAGGCGGUCUGCUGGGCAGUUUCUGACACUGAUGCGCGACAGCGUGGGGAGCAAACAGGA